UACGUAGGAUGCAAGCGUUGUUCGGAAUUACUGGGCGUAAAGAGUACGUAGGCGGUUUGAUAAGUCUGAAAUUAAAGACUGAGGCUUAACCUCAGGAAUGUAUCGGAAACUGUCAGACUAGAGGACAAUAGAGGAAGUUGGAAUUCUCAGUGUAGCGGUGAAAUGCGUAGAUAUUGGGAAGAACACCAGUGGCGAAAGCGGACUUCUGGGUUGUUACUGACGCUGAGGUACGAAAGCGUGGGGAGCAAACGGG
rnacentral:rRNA from 1 species